AUGCCACCGGCACGAAGGCCAGUCAGGAGGUACUGGCAAUGGCCACGCUCAAAAUGGUGUAAAUUGAUUCUUCAGUUACUUCUUUGAUAAUUCACAACCUUAAAUUAUUCAGGAUUCCUUUCUAUCAAUGUAUUAUUUCUUAAAAUAUGCAAGGAUUCAAACCUUGAUUGAUGUAGGUUGUGACAAGCUGGAAAUAUUACUCGUGGAUUUUUCUUUCUGAUAUUUUUCCAGAAGAAAACAAAAUGGUCUGCAUCAUUGUAGAAGAGUGAUUUUCUUUUACUUUUUUUUGUUUUGCUCUUGUCAGUGUCCCUCACCUAUGUUGUAGCAGAUAUAUGUGCCAUAAUUUAAGAGUUAUCAUUAACCCAAAUUAGGAAUGAGCCAUAAUGUGUGUCAUUGGUUCAUGACUACUAAAUUUAGUCCAUACUGAUUAUCACAUUUUAGUGUCAUGUGAGCCUAGUUCUUAUAAUCAUUUUAUUUUUACUAUUACUCAUAUGCACACAUGUGUAAGCUCUUCAUAUAUUGAGCCCUCUGUAUAUCAGUAUUAUAUAUAUAUAUGUAUAUAUACAUAUAGAUUAUUUAUGUGUGUGUAUACAUAAUUACUUUUUUUAUACCAGAAUAUGAAGAUUAUUAGGGAUUAGUAAUAUCCACACAAACAUUAAUUUCUAAAUAGUGGUUACCUAAAUCUUAGAAGUAAUUGUAAAUACAAUAUAAGGUUUUAUAUAUAGAAAACUACUUCCAAACAGUUUUUUAUAAAGCAAAAGUAAAAAGUUUUAAGCAAGUACAAACCCUUUUAAAUGACAAAAUAAUAAAAAUAAUGCCGUCUAAACUGUUGGUGUUACAAAAAUCUAUAAAUUUUUGGUGAUUUUUUUUUCCCUAAUCAUUGAAAAAAUACAUUUGAGUACAGUCCAAACAGAAUCAUGAUUGUCUACUCUACUAAUUAUUAUUUCCGUAACCACUAUAACUCAUUAAGCUAUUGUAGUAGUAAUAACCCAAUGAGUUGUUAUUGCAUUGUGUGUGAGCUGGUAAUCCUGAGGCUGUGCCAAACACUGCUUUGGGAUGGUUUUUUGCAACUGGAUGCCCUUCCAAAUGCCAACCACUUUAUAAAGUGGACUGGGUGCUUUACAAGGUAUCACCACAUAACUUGCAAGAUAGCUCCCUCAACUGGAAGGGGUAUUGAAGGAGGUGGCUUUGUGCCAGGCAAUGAAAGAUUAAACUAUGAUAGAGGGACAGAAACUGGUGUCUUGCUGUAGAGGAUACACAUAGUUCACCCAUUGGAAAGAGAGAGAGGAUGGCAAUGUAUCAGGGCAUACUCUCAAGGUACAGGGAUGUGAAUAUAAAUGGAAUGGUAAGAGGAUUGUUCAAAGUGUGUGAGUAGGGAGUUCAUGAAGGUGCAAAAGUAGUGGGGAGAGGGAAAGUGGGUGAUGAAACAACAUGGGUAUAUAAAGGUACAACAGGAUAGCAAUGUUAGUUUUAUGUAUGUAUAUAUAUAUAUAUCUCAGCUUGGUUAUAAUUAUUAUUAGUGAGUGUUAUAACUGCAUCACACAUAUACAGUGACCCACAAAAGUUUAUAAUACACAGUCAGAAAUCCAGGUUUAUAUAUAUUGAGUUAAUGCAGGUUAAUGAAAUUUCCACCAUUUAUUAUGUUUUUUGUAAUAAAUUCAAUACAACAAUCAGAAUUACAAAAUAACAAAUCGAAAAAAUUUUAUAUGGACAAAAGUUGAAAUUCAAAGUACAAAAACUUUACUACACAUUUAACUCAAUUGAACAAUUUUCCAGAUAUUUUGAAUAAAAAUGAUUUGUUUUUUCUAGGAUAUCUACAGUGUUCUAAGAGAUUCAGGAAGUUUCAUAUGUGAGCAUUUACAGUCAUUACAUCAGUUCUGACAAUAUCAGUGAGUGAACAUCAUCAUCUUGAGUAAAAAUAAACAAAUUAGUCAAGACCUUUUGUGAGCAUAUUGUUGACCUUCAUAAGAGUGGCAAUGGGUACAUAAAGAUCUCUGCACAGCUUAAUGUACCUUUGAGUUCAGUUCAUAUGAUAUGUAACUGGAAAUCUUGCAAUUCCAUUCUCCCUCUAGUCUGCUUAGGUUGCCCACAUAAGUUAGUAGAGUGUACAGCAAGAAAACUUGCAAGAACAGCUAAUAAUAGGCCACAGACUAUGUUUAGACCUGGAAGCAUGUGAAGUACAUGUGAGCAAGGAUAAAAUUAGUAGAUUACUUUGCUGUUAUGAUCUCUUUUCUCAUUGUCUAAAAAAGAUCCUCAUUGCUUAAGAAAUGUCAUGUUAAAGCUUGUUUGGCCUUUGCAAAAAACAUCUAAAUGAACCAGCAACACAUUGGGAAAACAUAGUUUGGUCUGACAAAACUGAGAUUGAGCUUUUCAGCAGAAAUUCAAUCAACAAGGUUUGGAGAAAGAAUGGCAUGGAGUAUGUGCCAAAGAAUACUAUCCCUACACUCAAAGAUGGAGGCGGAUCAGUUAUGAUGUGGGUUUGUUUUUGCUCAUCAGGUGUUGGAAGACUAUAUUUGUGUAUGUGUAUAUAACUGCAAUGUAUGUGAUAAGCUUCCUAAAGUUAGUAUUUGAAAUACCUUGUUGAUUUGCAAAACUAACUUUAGGAAACGUACCAGCCACCUAUUCACCUAUCAAUCUGGUGGGCACACAAACAACAUUCUUACUCGGAAAUGGGAUAGGUAGGUGCUUGUGAAUGCAAAGUCCUUUCCAAGCAAAGAAUGUAGUAUACAACAUAGUUUAGCAGUUAGUAGCUUCAGACUUAAGAGCUAGAAGAUCUAAGAGACAGGCUGAUCUGGAAUAGAAAGAUAUGGAAGCUUAAGGAUCCUUUAAACUGUUAGAGAUUGCAUACUUUCUAAAUGAAGCAUUUGAUGAGAAGGAGGAAAAGAUAAAUAUUUAUGGCAUAGAGGACAACUGGAAGUUCUUUUUGAACAACUUACUGAAGGCUACAGAUCAAGAGUGAUGUGGUAGUGGAACUGGGAAGUACACAGAGCCAAAAAAGCAAAGAGGCAGACUUGGAAGGGUUGGAAGAAUGGGGCAACUGAGGACAACUAUACCAGAUAGCUAGACAAAAAAUUAGGAGACAGGUCUAUUUGGCAAGGGGAGAAGUCUCCACUUCAAUCCUCAUCUCUCUAUCUCUGAACAUCUAUCAUAUUCUUUUUACACUUUCAUAAACUUAUUUAUCCUUUCUUUUCCUCUAUUCUCUCUCUUAUCUGCCUUGUACCUUGAGGAUGUGCCCUCACCAUUUCUCUCUUCCUAGUUGGAGAAGCAUCCUCUUCAGCAAACACUUGUUCUUGUCCCUCUAUCACACUUUCACCUCCUUCAAUACAAUACCCAACUCAGUUGAGAAGUCUUGCCUUGCAAGUACUUGAUAUGAAAAAAAAGAAGUAUUUGUUACACUCAGUAAAAGUGGUUGGCACUAGGAAGGGCAUCUAGCUGCAGAAACCAUGUCAAAGCAGGUACUGGAGCUUGGCACAAGCUUCUAGUUUGUCAGUUCCUGUCAAACUGUCCAACCUAUGCCAGCAUGGAAAAAAGGAAUGUUACUGAUCAUGAUGAUGAUAUUUCCUUCAUUUCUCAGCGAAGAUAUGUUGGAUUUAUUAUAUAAUUGGCUUUAAGUGGUAGGAGUUCUAUUAGAUUCUCAAUGUUAAUGGCUCAACAUUAAUAUCUUAGUGUUUAACUCUGCAUGUUGAAAAUCCUCAAACUUACUGACAACAUAAAACAAGUUUAUUGCAUCAUUUUACUGCAUAGUUUCAACUGAGCCACAAUUCCUUACAAACUUUGUAGGAAAUGGACCAAAUAUGAUGUGAAGAGACUAUUUCUGAGCAUACAGGAUGCAUUGGUUUCAAGAAUUCCCAAUGAAAAUUUGCAUUUCAUAGAUUAAGAGAGGAGAGAUUAGCAUCAGCUAUAGCAAGUGACAAACUGAAGCUAUUAGUUGAAGAGAAGCCAGACUUAAUUUUCUAAGAAACAACUUUUAGGAGUAGUAUUUUGCCAGUUCACAUCAUCUGUAAUAAAGGGGAAAAGAGAAGCUUGUCCAAUGAAUUGUACAAGGACUUCACAUUUAAAACUGUCACUGUACAUACCGGCUUGAUAUAUCACCUAUCAUAUUCCUUAGCAUUUACAGUAACUGAACAGCUGUACUGAUAAAUUUCAAUCUAUCCAGAAAAUUUGUUUGGCUGUAGGAGAGUUCGCCACAGGAAAUUUUGCCGCAAAACAAUUUCACCGAAAAAAUGAUGAAUUGCUCCCUUGGUACAUAAUUGUUUCAACCAACCUAACUUUUAUUAGAGAAACCAAUAGGAAGGGGUAAAGUUAUUGCAUAACAUUUAAAAUUUCUUUAUUCAUUUGACAAUAUUUUUUUGUGUAGCCAACCCAUUACAAUAGUCUAUUAAGUGGGAACUAGCAGAGGCAGUUUGAAAUUAGUUGAUGAUCUUAACUUUGUUUAUAGGAUAGAUAGAAAAUACGGUGAAAAAUCAUAUUGGAAAUGUGAAAAUAGAGAAUGUAAAGCAAGAGUGCAUCCCAUGCUGGAGAACAAUAAUUUAUCUAUACGUAAAACAUUCAGCAAGCAUUGCUGUCCUUCUCAGCCUUCAAAGCUGAAAGUUUACAUAGUGAAAAUGAAAUUGAAAUCACUAGCCACUAAUUCACAAACUUCUGCAUGGUCAUUAAUUGCAGAAAUUUCAUCUAGUUUAGAUGAUAAUGCAUGGUCACUGAUGCUGAUGCCAUCGCAUUUGUCUCGCAAUAUCAGAGGUUGGAGGCAAAAGAAAAGCCAAGCUCACCCAAUCCCAACUGGAAGAAGUGGGUGUAUAAUACCUGAAGAAUAUAGAUUUCUUGAAAAUGGUGAGAAGUUUUUAUUAUACUAUAUUGGUGAAGAUAAUCCAGAGAGACUGUUAGUAUUUGGCACACAAGUUGGGUUAGAUGACCUUGAGAAUAAUAAGGAUUGGCCUUGUGAUGGAACUUUUAAAUGCAGCCCAGAUAUCUAUUAUCAGUUGUUCACGUUACAUAUUGUCAUAUGAAAUAUUAACAUACCACGUCUUUUUGUUUUGCUACAACAUACAGAAGGCUUAGCGCUUUGAAGGACUUACACCCAUCAUUAGAGCCUGAAAUCUUAAUGGUUGAUUUCGAGAAAGCAAUUAUCAAUACCUUUUGUGAUAUAUUUCCAACAGGUUGUUUAUUUCAUAUGGCUAAGAAUAUCUAUCACGACAUUGUGAAUAUAAGUAUAAAACCUUGUUAUCAAACAGAUGCAGAAUUUAACAAUGCUUCACUGCAUUAGCAUUUCUUCUAGUGCGUGAUAUUAUUGAUGGUUUUCUUGAACUGAUGAUGAUGAUUUGCUUCAAGAAUUUGUAUCAUACUUUGAAACUCAUUAUAUAGGAAGAGAAUGAGGUUGAGGUGAGCAAAGACGAAGAAUGCAACCAGCUUUUCCUAUCUAAGUGUGUGUGGAAUGUCUUCGAAAGAACCCAGAAUAAUACGAUGAGAACAAACAACAGCGUAGAAGGCUUCCACAUUGCAAUGCAAAGCUCCAUUACUAACAUGCACCCAAAUUUGUGGAAACUUGUUACAUAUUUGAAAAAGGAAGAGACAUUACUGAAAAAGAAAAAGUGUCAUUUAGAUUGAGCAAAUGCAGUCCUAAUAAAGAAAAUAUAUAUUGAUAUCAAUGAAAGAAUUUAGUGGAAAACACUUCAUUAUAAAUAUGAAAAUGCUUCAAUAUAAACGUUUACAAAGAACAAAAAGAAAACAAAAAAACAGUUACAUCUAAAACAGAAUUAUAAAAAUCAUUUAUAUAUAAAGCAAUUUUUUUCAGAGCUGCAAUUUCUCUAAAUCAGGUUGCCUGCCAUAUCUUCGAAAUUACCUAUAUGACAAAGUUUCCUAUGAUGAUAAUUCCUGAGGUGAGUUUUCUUGCGGUAAAAAUGUUUAUAGCGAAUAUUCCAAGAACCAAAUUUCAAGGAUAUUAAAGAAGUCUAGGACUCUGGUUAUUUUUGGGUAGUCACAGAUAAUUGUGUUCUUCAUUGGUAAAAGUGAUUGAUGUUUCUUGUACUUGAAUUUAUUGAUUAAUAAAGUUGAACUGACUAAUCUGAUUUAUUUUCUAAAAA
rnacentral:lncRNA from 1 species